UACGUAGGGGGCAAGCGUUGUCCGGAUUUAUUGGGCGUAAAAGGCUUGUAGGUGGCCACGCCAAGUCGGAUGUGAAAUCUCCCGGCUCAACUGGGAGGGGUCAUUCGAUACUGGCGGGCUCGAGGCCGGUAGGGGGAAGUGGAAUUCCCGGUGUAGUGGUGGAAUGCGUAGAUAUCGGGAGGAACACCAGUGGCGAAGGCGGCUCCUGGACCG
rnacentral:rRNA from 1 species